rnacentral:rRNA from 1 species
UACGGAGGGGGCUAGCGUUGUUCGGAAUUACUGGGCGUAAAGCGCACGUAGGCGGCUUUGUAAGUUAGAGGUGAAAAGCCCAGGGCUUAACCCUGGAAUUGCCUUUAAGACUGCAUCGCUAGAAUCGUGGAGAGGUGAGUGGAAUUCCGAGUGUAGAGGUGAAAUUCGUAGAUAUUCGGAAGAACACCAGUGGCGAAGGCGACUCACUGGACACGUAUUGACGCUGAGGUGCGAAAAGCGUGGGGAGCAAACA